CUGCUUGCAGUGGACGUUGUAUUGACGUGAGUGGCGGACGGGUGAGUAACACGUGGGUAACCUACCCUUAAGUGGGGGAUAACAUUUGGAAACAGAUGCUAAUACCGCAUAACCAUUCAGACCACAUGGUCUGAAUGUAAAAGACGGCCUGUGGCUGUCACUUUUGGACGGACCCGCGGCGUAUUAGUUAGCUGGUAAGGUAACGGCUUACCGAGACAAUGAUACGUAGCCGACCUGAGAGGGUAAUCGGCCACAUUGGGACUGAGACACGGCCCAAACUAAAACGGGAGGCAGCAGUAGGGAAUCUUCCACAAUGGACGAAAGUCUGAUGGAGCAACGCCGCGUGAGUGAAGAAGGUUUUAGGAUCGUAAAACUCUGUUGUUGGAGAAUAACAGGGACUAGAGUAACUGUUAGUCCUUUGACGGUAUCCAACCAGAAAGCCACGGCUAACUACGUGCCAGCAGCCGCGGUAAUACGUAAGUGGCAAGCGUUGUCCGGAUUUAUUGGGCGUAAAGCGAGCGCAGGCGGUUUUUUAAGUCUGAUGUGAAAGCCUUCGGCUUAACCUAAUAAGCGCAUUAGAAACUGGGAAACUUGAGUGCACAAGAGGACAGUGGAACUCCAUGUGUAGCGGUGAA
rnacentral:rRNA from 1 species